UUAAGCGACUAAGCGUACACGGUGGAUGCCCUGGCAGUCAGAGGCGAUGAAGGACGUGCUAAUCUGCGAUAAGCGUCGGUAAGGUGAUAUGAACCGUUAUAACCGGCGAUUUCCGAAUGGGGAAACCCAGUGUGUUUCGACACACUAUCAUUAACUGAAUCCAUAGGUUAAUGAGGCGAACCGGGGGAACUGAAACAUCUAAGUACCCCGAGGAAAAGAAAUCAACCGAGAUUCCCCCAGUAGCGGCGAGCGAACGGGGAGGAGCCCAGAGCCUGAAUCAGUGUGUGUGUUAGUGGAAGCGUCUGGAAAGGCGCGCGAUACAGGGUGACAGCCCCGUACACAAAAAUGCACAUGCUGUGAGCUCGAUGAGUAGGGCGGGACACGUGGUAUCCUGUCUGAAUAUGGGGGGACCAUCCUCCAAGGCUAAAUACUCCUGACUGACCGAUAGUGAACCAGUACCGUGAGGGAAAGGCGAAAAGAACCCCGGCGAGGGGAGUGAAAAAGAACCUGAAACCGUGUACGUACAAGCAGUGGGAGCACGCUUAGGCGUGUGACUGCGUACCUUUUGUAUAAUGGGUCAGCGACUUAUAUUCUGUAGCAAGGUUAACCGAAUAGGGGAGCCGAAGGGAAACCGAGUCUUAACUGGGCGUUAAGUUGCAGGGUAUAGACCCGAAACCCGGUGAUCUAGCCAUGGGCAGGUUGAAGGUUGGGUAACACUAACUGGAGGACCGAACCGACUAAUGUUGAAAAAUUAGCGGAUGACUUGUGGCUGGGGGUGAAAGGCCAAUCAAACCGGGAGAUAGCUGGUUCUCCCCGAAAGCUAUUUAGGUAGCGCCUCGUGAAUUCAUCUCCGGGGGUAGAGCACUGUUUCGGCAAGGGGGUCAUCCCGACUUACCAACCCGAUGCAAACUGCGAAUACCGGAGAAUGUUAUCACGGGAGACACACGGCGGGUGCUAACGUCCGUCGUGAAGAGGGAAACAACCCAGACCGCCAGCUAAGGUCCCAAAGUCAUGGUUAAGUGGGAAACGAUGUGGGAAGGCCCAGACAGCCAGGAUGUUGGCUUAGAAGCAGCCAUCAUUUAAAGAAAGCGUAAUAGCUCACUGGUCGAGUCGGCCUGCGCGGAAGAUGUAACGGGGCUAAACCAUGCACCGAAGCUGCGGCGGCGACGCUUAUGCGUUGUUGGGUAGGGGAGCGUUCUGUAAGCCUGUGAAGGUGUGCUGUGAGGCAUGCUGGAGGUAUCAGAAGUGCGAAUGCUGACAUAAGUAACGAUAAAGCGGGUGAAAAGCCCGCUCGCCGGAAGACCAAGGGUUCCUGUCCAACGUUAAUCGGGGCAGGGUGAGUCGACCCCUAAGGCGUGGCCGAAAGGGCGUAGUCGAUGGGAAACAGGUUAAUAUUCCUGUACUUGGUGUUACUGCGAAGGGGGGACGGAGAAGGCUAUGUUGGCCGGGCGACGGUUGUCCCGGUUUAAGCGUGUAGGCUGGUUUUCCAGGCAAAUCCGGAAAAUCAAGGCUGAGGCGUGAUGACGAGGCACUACGGUGCUGAAGCAACAAAUGCCCUGCUUCCAGGAAAAGCCUCUAAGCAUCAGGUAACAUCAAAUCGUACCCCAAACCGACACAGGUGGUCAGGUAGAGAAUACCAAGGCGCUUGAGAGAACUCGGGUGAAGGAACUAGGCAAAAUGGUGCCGUAACUUCGGGAGAAGGCACGCUGAUAUGUAGGUGAAGUCCCUCGCGGAUGGAGCUGAAAUCAGUCGAAGAUACCAGCUGGCUGCAACUGUUUAUUAAAAACACAGCACUGUGCAAACACGAAAAGUGGACGUAUACGGUGUGACGCCUGCCCGGUGCCCGGAAGGUUAAUUGAUGGGGUCAGCGCAAGCGAAGCUCUUGAUCGAAGCCCCGGUAAACGGCGGCCGUAACUAUAACGGUCCUAAGGUAGCGAAAUUCCUUGUCGGGUAAGUUCCGACCUGCACGAAUGGCGUAAUGAUGGCCAGGCUGUCUCCACCCGAGACUCAGUGAAAUUGAACUCGCUGUGAAGAUGCAGUGUACCCGCGGCAAGACGGAAAGACCCCGUGAACCUUUACUAUAGCUUGACACUGAACAUUGAGCCUUGAUGUGUAGGAUAGGUGGGAGGCUUAGAAGUGUGGACGCCAGUCUGCAUGGAGCCGACCUUGAAAUACCACCCUUUAAUGUUUGAUGUUCUAACGUUGAUCCGUGAUCCGGGUUGCGGACAGUGUCUGGUGGGUAGUUUGACUGGGGCGGUCUCCUCCUAAAGAGUAACGGAGGAGCACGAAGGUUGGCUAAUCCUGGUCGGACAUCAGGAGGUUAGUGCAAUGGCAUAAGCCAGCUUGACUGCGAGCGUGACGGCGCGAGCAGGUGCGAAAGCAGGUCAUAGUGAUCCGGUGGUUCUGAAUGGAAGGGCCAUCGCUCAACGGAUAAAAGGUACUCCGGGGAUAACAGGCUGAUACCGCCCAAGAGUUCAUAUCGACGGCGGUGUUUGGCACCUCGAUGUCGGCUCAUCACAUCCUGGGGCUGAAGUAGGUCCCAAGGGUAUGGCUGUUCGCCAUUUAAAGUGGUACGCGAGCUGGGUUUAGAACGUCGUGAGACAGUUCGGUCCCUAUCUGCCGUGGGCGCUGGAGAACUGAGGGGGGCUGCUCCUAGUACGAGAGGACCGGAGUGGAAGCAUCACUGGUGUUCGGGUUGUCAUGCCAAUGGCACUGCCCGGUAGCUAAAUGCGGAAGAGAUAAGUGCUGAAAGCAUCUAAGCACGAAACUUGCCCCGAGAUGAGUUCUCCCUGACUCCUUGAGAGUCCUGAAGGAACGUUGAAGACGACGACGUUGAUAGGCCGGGUGUGUAAGCGCAGCGAUGCGUUGAGCUAACCGGUACUAAUGAACCGUGAGGCUUAACCUU
rnacentral:rRNA from 1 species